GCGAUCGUGGUGUAAAGGCAGCAUCAGAGUCUUCCAAACUCACGGUACGAGUUCGAGUCUCGUCGAUCGCUCCA
rnacentral:tRNA from 2 species